rnacentral:lncRNA from 1 species
GAGAAAUGUGCAGAAAGCCAUUGAUAAAUUCUCCAGCGAGUCCCCCUCAUCCUUUUCAUCCAGUGGGAGCCGCACACCCACAGAGGCCCACAAUUCAUGGCCUGACUCUUCCACACAGAGCUCCACCACGGGACUGUCUACGGAGAGGAGCUCAGUUUCUUCGUGGAGAGAUGAUGAAUUUGACAAAGUCAAUGCACAGAAAGUCCAGCAGCUGUUUUGGGAGGUUGAGGAACUGCUAUUUGAAGGGAAAGUGAGUGCCCAGACCCAGAACCUCCUGACUGAAUGCAACGAAUGGGCAAGAAGAUCCCUCCACCUUAGGGUGUUAGGAAGACAGCUCAUCCCACCAACUGAUGAAGGUUUCCAACACUUCCAGGGGAUCCUGCCUAGUUCUGCUAGUCAGAAGCCUCAUGUCCCGAACCACAUCAGCAGCACCAGAGAGCCAGAGACUUCAUCAAGAGAGAAAUUAGACAGAUACUCCUGAAUAGUUCAUCUCAAAACAAAUGGAGAUUGGAUCACAGCACAGCAAAAUAGAUGGCCCUUAAGAACCACAGCUCGAAAAGUAGAUAUGACAGCACUAAACGUUUAUGUUUAGAAAUAAAGGAGGAAUGCAUAGAAAUAAAGAUAGACUUUUACACAUGGGAAGACAGAAUAAACUUAGUCCCGAGAUAGUUAAAGUAAUAACAGAGUUCACAGCAGAAACAAAGAAAUGGAGAAUCCAAAAAAAAGAAUAAAAGCAUCAGUAAAGAGUC